UUCCAGACUCCUACGGGAGGCAGCAGUGGGGGAUAUUGGACAAUGGGGGGAACCCUGAUCCAGCGACGCCGCGUGAGUGAAGAAGUAUUUCGGUAUGUAAAGCUCUGUCAGCAGGGAAGAAAGAAAUGACGGUACCUGACCAAGAAGCCCCGGCUAACUACGUGCCAGCAGCCGCUGUAAUACGUAGGGGGCAAGCGUUAUCCGGAAUUACUGGGUGUAAAGGGAGCGUAGACGGUUAAGUAAGUCUGGAGUGAAAGGCCGGGGCCCAACCCCGGGACUGCUCUGGAAACUAUUGAACUUGAGUGCAGGAGAGGUAAGCGGAAUUCCUAGUGUAGCGGUGAAAUGCGUAGAUAUUAGGAGGAGCACCAGUGGCGAAGGCGGCUUACUGGACGAUCACUGACGCUGAGGCUCGAAAGCGUGGGGAGCAAACAGGAUUAGAUACCCCUGUACAA
rnacentral:rRNA from 1 species